GGAAGCUCUUCCGGUAUUAGUUUCAAGCGGACCGCGCCGGCUUCAGGUGAGUCUCUCGGGUUCUUUUUCGCUGUGGCUGGUCUCAGGGUUUGGCGGGAUCCGCCCCGUCCGCGGUAACUGAGCCGGCGAGGGCGAAGGUGUCGUCGGUUGCGUGGUCCUCGGUCCGCGGACGUAUAGGAGGAAGGGACGGCGACCCCAGGGCUGGCGGAAUGAGGCCCGGCGUCACAGCCUGUUCUCUGCAGGAUGGUUGGGUUUUUAAUGUCAGAGGACCCUGGUGUUGGGUGGAUUGGCCGGUGUGUAAAGAGGCUCAAGCGGACACAUAGGAAUUAGCCCAGGGGGAGAGAAUGGCCCGUGACUUGCUUGGAGGAGCAGGGUGUGCAGUUCACUGUGCACUCUCGGCCUCUUCUCCCCGGCAGCCUUUGGGUUUCUGGUGCCCUUGCACUAUUUCAGCCCAAAGGAGCUAAUGCCAGAGCCUGUGCUCUUGUCCCUCUCUUGAGUCCCAGCCCUUCUCCAGGUUCCCAUGUAGAGAGGCAAGCCUGUGAGAAACGUUACCUAUUAUCCGUUGCCUACAUAGUACAGGCCCUUCCUAUAAGUUGUUCAGAGCAGCUUGUUGUGUGACGUUAAGACACUUGUGUCCUUUAACGAGUGAUAGCUAUCGAUAAUAAAUAGUAACUGUAGAUGCUAACUGGUGCAGACUGAUACAUAUCUGUCUCAUAAUUUUAUAGGCUCCAUUUUAUAGGUGCUGUUAGUAGCCAUAAUUUGUAGCUGGGGACUUGAGACAUUAAGGAACUUGCCCCCCAUCGAAGUAGGUUGUAAAAUCGUAAACAGAACUUAAAUCCGUAUCUUAUUGAUACAAGAAUCUGAGCUCUGAACUGUCAACCUUGACCACUCUUGAGACUCACAUAGUGGGAAAGAGACAGAAGUGAAAGCCCCUGAGAGGUCGUUCUCUGACCUCAACAUACACGAUGGCACAGGUAAACAAACACACACACACACACUAAUCGUUUAAAUCAAUACAUUCAUGAGUGCAUCUAUGAACUGUCUUAAUUUGUAUUGUUCUAUUACAAUGACUUUUUAAAACUAGGUGCGUGUUUACUGAUCUUUCACAAAAUGUUCAAAUCAUUUUACUGAAAAACCAUUUUCUGGUGAAUAUGAUCAAAACACAUGACAUUCUCAAAGAAUUAAUAAAUAUACUUUCGAAAGUUAUGUCAUUAUGUAGAUGAAAGGACAGUAUCAUUUAAGUGGGGAUAAAAGAAGUAUAUAACCUUGAAUAAUAUGUUUUUAAAUCUGCCUAUGUAUUGACAGAUUCUACCAAUUUGUAGAACCUUGGUAUUGUCCUUCCAAGGUUUGAUCUUGAGAGCUGUUUUCCAUUUGACUAAAAGAGAUGGCUGUGGGAGGUAGGGCGGGGUGAUUAAGAGUUGUGUCAUGCUGUACACCUGCGUGAUUUAACCCUCUUUGCUAAUAACUGAUUAUUUAUUAUUUCUUUUAGGCUAUUGGAAGGGUUCUACCCAAACAUGGAUAUCAGACCAAAUCACACGAUUUAUAUCAACAACAUGAAUG
rnacentral:lncRNA from 1 species